AAUAAUAAAGAUGGCGGGUUUGGAUGGCUUCAAUGAAAGAGUUGUGUUAACGUUAAAAUCACAAAAAAGAAAAAAACAAUGUUCUGCAAGAGAGAAAAAAAAGUUAUUUAGACAUUCAAGUGGAGGAAAAAUUCCUUCUAUAUCAUGUAAUCAUGUUUCAGGUUACUGCAAAGCUUGAGAUAUAACACAGGAUAAUUUGCUUAAACAUCAUACAGAAUUCUAUAGUAUUGCAAGUAAAGUUCACAAGAUGCUACUAUACUGUCAAUUCUUAAUUUAAUCAAUGUGAAAAGAGUCAGAGUGAAAUAUAAUAAUCAAAAAAAGUUAAGAACUAUGAGUAUUGAGUACUUUUUAUGCUGUGAGAGAAUUAAAGUACGAGUUUGCCAAGCUUCAUUUUGUUCAGUAUUGUCCAUAAAACCUGAUAGAGUUUUAAGACAUUUUAAUUGCAAGACACUGGUAUAAACAUGGAACAACCAGACCUAAAAAUAGAGGAGACAGGAAGAAAGUAGCUUUUUCUGAAAAGAAAGAAGCUAUUAAAAACCAUAUGUAGUCUUUUACUAGCAGAGAAAGUCAUUAUGGAAGAAAAGGUGCUCCAGGACAUAAAUAUUUGCCCUUUGAUUUAAAUGUAAAGUGGAUGUAUGAACUUUUUUGGAUAAAAACAAUACUUAUAUUGUA